rnacentral:lncRNA from 1 species
GAGUAUAGAGACCGGAGAGAGAGAAUGGGAUCUCUGGGCCUUCAGUACUCAGGAGAGGCUUAACUACAUAGCGUGAGUAGAGACAGGAGAGAGAGAGGACUGGGAGCUGGCCUUCAGUAACUCAGGAGAGGCUUACUACAUAGAGUGAGUAGAGACAGGAGAGAGAGAGAACUGGGAGCUGGCCUUCAGUAACUCAGGAGAGGCUUACUACAUAGAGUGGCGUAGAGACAGGAGGAGAGAAGAGGACUGGGAGGCUGGUCCUCCAGUAACUCAGGAGAGGCUUACUACAUAGAGUGAGUAGAGACCGGAGAGAGGGGACUGGGAGAUGGCCUUUCAGUACUCAGGAGAGGCUUACUACAUAGAGUAGAGACAGGAGAGAGAGAGGACUGGGGCUGGCCUCAGUAAAUCAGGAGUGCCUUUACUUACAUAGAGUGAGUAGAGGACAGGAGACGAGGAU